AACGAACGCUGGCGGCAUGCCUAACACAUGCAAGUCGAACGAGACCUUCGGGUCUAGUUGCGCACGGGUGCGUACCGCGUGGUAACCUGCCCUUAGGUUCGGAAUCACUCCCCGAAAGGGGUGCUAAUACCGGUUAAUGUCUUCGGACCAAAGAUUUAUCGCCUUUGGAUGGGCCCGCGUUGGAUUAGCUAGUUGGUAGGGUAAAAGCCUACCAAGGCGACGAUCCAUAGCUGGUCUGAGAGGAUGAUCAGCCACACUGGGACUGAGACACGGCCCAGACUCCUACGGGAGGGAGCAGUGGGGAAUAGUGGACAAUGGGCGAAAGCCUGAGCCAGCAAUGCCGCGUGAGAGAUGAAGGCCUUAGGGUUGUAAAGCUCUUUUACCCGGGAUGAUAAUGACAGUACCGGGAGAAUAAGCACCGGCUAACUCCGUG
rnacentral:rRNA from 1 species